rnacentral:rRNA from 1 species
ACCUCCAGCAUCCCUAGUAUUGGAGGCACUGCCUGCCCAGUGACAAUCGUUCAACGGCCGCGGUAUCCUGACCGUGCAAAGGUAGCAUAAUCAUUUGUUCUCUAAAUAAGGACUUGUAUGAAUGGCCACACGAGGGUUUUACUGUCUCUUACUUCCAAUCAGUGAAAUUGACCUCCCCGUGAAGAGGCGGGGAUGAACCAAUAAGACGAGAAGACCCUAUGGAGCUUUAACUAACCAAUUCAAAGAAAACAUAAUAAAUCACUCAGGAAAUAACGAUAUUUUCUCAUGAGUUGGCAGUUUCGGUUGGGGUGACCUCGGAGAAUAAAAAAUCCUCCGAACGAUUUUAAAGACUAGACCUACAAGUCAAAUCACUCAAUCGCUUAUUGAUCCAAAAAACUUGAUCAACGGAACAAGUUACCCUAGGGAUAACAGCGCAAUCCUAUUCGAGAGUCCAUAUCGACAAUAGGGUUUACGACCUCGAUGUUGGAUCAGGAUAUCCAGAUGGUGCAACCGCUAUCAAA